UUCUAGUCUUCGGACUAGAGCCGGGUUGGGUUAAAGGAAGCUUCUAAUCAGAAUGUCUACAUUUUAAGAUUAGAUCUCAAAUCAGGUAGGACUACCCGCUGAACUUAAGCAUAUCAAUAAGCGGAGGAAAAGAAACUAACAAGGAUUCCCCUAGUAGCGGCGAGCGAAGCGGGAAGAGCUCAAAUUUAUAAUCUGGCACCUUCGGUGUCCGAGUUGUAAUCUCUAGAAAUGUUUUCCGCGUUGGACCGCACACAAGUCUGUUGGAAUACAGCGGCAUAGUGGUGAGACCCCCGUAUAUGGUGCGGACGCCCAGCGCUUUGUGAUACAUUUUCGAAGAGUCGAGUUGUUUGGGAAUGCAGCUCAAAUUGGGUGGUAAAUUCCAUCUAAAGCUAAAUAUUGGCGAGAGACCGAUAGCGAACAAGUACCGUGAGGGAAAGAUGAAAAGCACUUUGGAAAGAGAGUUAACAGUACGUGAAAUUGUUGGAAGGGAAACGCUUGAAGUCAGACUUGCUUGCCGAGCAAUCGGUUUGCAGGCCAGCAUCAGUUUUCCGGGAUGGAUAAUGGUAGAGAGAAGGUAGCAGUUUCGGCUGUGUUAUAGCUCUCUGCUGGAUACAUCUUGGGGGACUGAGGAACGCAGUGUGCCUUUGGCGGGGGUUUC
rnacentral:rRNA from 1 species